GUCACAGAGGGUGAGAAUCCCGUAUGUGACCGGCGACCAACCCCAUGUGAAACCCCUUCGACGAGUCGAGUUGUUUGGGAAUGCAGCUCAAAAUGGGUGGUAAAUUUCAUCUAAAGCUAAAUACCGGCCAGAGACCGAUAGCGCACAAGUAGAGUGAUCGAAAGAUGAAAAGCACUUUGGAAAGAGAGUCAAACAGUACGUGAAAUUGUUGAAAGGGAAGCGCUUGCAACCAGACCUGUCCGCGGGCGUUCCACCUCCGUUCUCGGGGGCCCACUCGCCCGUGAUCAGGCCAGCAUCGGUUCGGGCGGCCGGAUAAAGGCCUUGGGAAUGUAGCUCCCCUCGGGGAGAACUUAUAGCCCUCGGUGCAAUGCGGCCAGCCCGGACCGAGGACCGCGCUUCGGCUAGGAUGCUGGCGUAAUGGUUGUAAGCGACCCGUCUUGAAACACGGACCAAGGAGUUAAUUAUCUAUGCGAGUGUUUGGGUGUCAAACCCAUGCGCGUAAUGAAAGUGAACGGAGGUGAGAACCCUUAAGGGCGCAUCAUCGACCGAUCCUGAUGUCUUCGGAUGGAUUUGAGUACGAGCAUAGCUAAUUUGACCCGAAAGAUAGUGAACUAUACCUGAAUAGGGUGAAGCCAGAGGAAACUCUGGUGGAGGCUCGCAGCGGUUCUGACGUGCAAAUCGAUCGUCAAAUUUGGGUAUAGGGGCGCGCUUUCGCCCCUCACAGCCCGGCUCCCUGACACGGAUCCGGGCCCUAGUCUUGCGGGGCGAGGCUUACGUUCUGCGGGGAUGUUCAGGCCGACUGGACUGCCCGCACCUACCCAAUAAGUAGGUCACAGAUCAAGCGUAGGCCGGUGAUCUCCGCCGCUGGAGGAUCGCUUUAGAUAUGAUCGGGCUCUGGCUGCGAAAGCUAGCGACCACCGGAAAGACUAAUCGAACUAUCUAGUAGCUGGUUCCUGCCGAAGUUUCCCUCAGGAUAGCAGUAACGUUUUCAGUUUUAUGAGGUAAAGCGAAUGAUUAGAGGCCUUGGGGUUGAAACAACCUUAACCUAUUCUCAAACUUUAAAUAUGUAAGAAGUCCU
rnacentral:rRNA from 1 species